rnacentral:rRNA from 1 species
GACGAACGCUGGCGGCGUGCCUAAUACAUGCAAGUUGAGCGCUGAAGGUUGGUACUUGUACCAACUGGAUGAGCAGCGAACGGGUGAGUAACGCGUGGGGAAUCUGCCUUUGAGCGGGGGACAACAUUUGGAAACGAAUGCUAAUACCGCAUAAAAACUUUAAACACAAGUUUUAAGUUUGAAAGAUGCAAUUGCAUCACUCAAAGAUGAUCCCGCGUUGUAUUAGCUAGUUGGUGAGGUAAAGGCUCACCAAGGCGAUGAUACAUAGCCGACCUGAGAGGGUGAUCGGCCACAUUGGGACUGAGACACGGCCCAAACUCCUACGGGAGGCAGCAGUAGGGAAACUUCGGCAAAGGACGAAAGUCUGAACGAGCAACGCCGCGUGAGGGAAGAGGGUUUUCGGAUCGUAAAACUCUGUUGGUAGAGAAGAACGUUGGUGAGAGUGGAAAGCUCAUCAAGUGACGGUAACUACCCAGAAAGGGACGGCUAACUACGUG